ACAAGGAAUGUUCUUCAUACCCAUGAAGAGACAGGCAUAGCCAGGGCCCAUGCAGGUACCUAUGGCAACCCCUCUUACUUUUGAACUGUUCCGGAACAGUUCAAUGUUCUAAUAUUUUAAAAAAAAUACAUUCUAUUGAGUAACAGCCAUUCCAAGUGAAGAAAACCCUAGCCAUGGUUAGCCAGAAGUGUUUAAAUAUAGUAUCAAACUUAACAUAAUUGUGUAAGGGCAGAUGGCAAGUAGCUGGGUAGCUCAAAAAAUGAGCAAAGAAUGUGGAAUUUUUAAUAAAAUUCAGUAGCUUUAUAAACACUAGCACUUAAUAUCAAAGAGGUUAACAGCAAGUGAUUUGUACCUAAUGGAUAAUUCUCAAUAGAAAAUGAGAUGGCAAAUGAAUUGAACAAGUGUUUUGCACCAGCUCUUCACUUCAGAGGAUACAAGUAAUGUCCCCACAGUAGUGAUAUUCCAGGGAAUGGAAUGAGAAGGUGGAACGUGGAGUUGCAUUCUGAUAAGUGCUCCAAUCCCACUAAACUACAUUCUAGGGACUGAAGAGGUGGCUACUGAGAUGCAUCAGAUUUAAUUUUCUAAAACUCCUUGACUCAGGAAGGACUUUAGAAUUGAAGAUAGUAAAUAGCAAUUUAUUCAUAUCUUCUGUCUGCCCACUCCUUGAAGCUACAAAUGACUAUUAGAAGACUUUAAAUAAGUUAAAGCAGGGCACUUUGAUAAAUGUAAGGUAAUCAGGCAGAGCCAACACCAUUUUCUCAAAUGAAAUCAUGUUUGACCAAUCUGUUGGACUUACUUGAGGAGGUAAUAUGGGUGAUGGAUAAAGGGGAACUAGUAGAUGUAUUGUACUAGAUUUCUAGAAGGCAUUUGAUGAAGUACCACAUCAGGUAGAAAAGAAAAGCUUAUGGUGUACAGGGGUCUGGUACUAGUUUGGAUGUAAUAUUGGCUAACAAAGUAGGAGUACAUAUGUCUUUAGAUUGGAAAGAUGUAACAAGUGGUGUGCCAUGGGGAUUGGUACUGGAACCACAAACAUUUACAAUUUGUGAAUGAAAGGUACAAUUGCUAAACUUGCUGUAUAUGCAGAUAGGUAGGAAAGUAAGUUAUGAAGACAUUUUUUAAAAGCAGAUUAUUUAAAUGAUGAGCAACUUGCAUGAAUCAAGUACAACAAGUAAUUAGAAAGCUAGUUUGAAUGUGAUCACUUAUCACAAGGGGAAUUGAAUACCAAAGUUGGGAGGUUAUGCUUCACUUAUGGUGGGCACUGGAGAGACCAUAUUUGAACUACUUUGCAUGCUACUAGUCAACUUAUUUAAUGAAGGACAUAAAUGUGCUGGAAGCAGAUUGUCUCAUGAAGGUUCUAUCUGAUUGUUUAAAGGAGCAAGAAGUAACUAGUUGGAAGAUAAAAUCCUGAAGACUUGACAGGGUAGAUAGAGAUGUUCCUUUUAAUGGGAGAAUCUAGGGGUCACUGUUUAGAAAUCAGUCACCCAUUCAAAGUACAGAUGAGGCAAUUUUUUUCCCUUCUAGGAGAGUUGUGAAUAUUUGGAACUGUUUCUACCACUUUUUCAGGAAAAGAGUCCUUGAAUAUUUUGGAAGUGGGUGAAAAAGUUCAGAAUUGGGAAGGAAUGCAGAUUUGAGGUUACAAUCAGAUCAGCCACAACUUUAAUGGUAGAGCAGGCUAAAUCCUGCUCUUAAUUUAUAUCUAUGCCUACAGACAGCUAUAGGAACAUGCUUGAUAGAAAAUAACAUCAUAACAAUAUUUGCAAGUCUGUAUUAUCAAGGGAGCAGCAGUUUAAGAGGCUGAGGCCAAGACCAAUGAAAACAGCAGUUUAAAUUUGUACUGACACAAGGCAGGGAUGUAUAUCCUAACGUGGACAGUGGAAAAAUUAAGGUACAAUGAUGGAUAGCAGAAAGGUCAUAAUGUAGUGACCAGUGUUUAGUGUCAUUGUUGGUGAACUAUGACAAUUUCAGACAAUGUAUGUAGUUAUAGUUUACAGAUUAAAGCUCUAAAUGGCCUGAGCAAAGAGCUUUGCAAAUCUUGCUUGUCAUCAGAUUUAAAACAUCUGGUCUAUCCACAGAUGAUCAGAAACUCUGGACUGUUCUUAAAAACCAGCCAAAGCUAAGAAAUAACUUCAAGAUAUACAGUCUUCUAUUAUGACAUAUGUAAAUCAGUCAAAAGUCUAUUGACCAGUAAAUUGGAAGAUGCUGCAGUAAAAAGUAUGAAUGAAUGUUGCUUUUCUUGAACUUUCAAACAUGCUUGUUGAUUAUCUCUAUACCAGUUAAACAUUUAGGAAGGAUCAUUUGCACAAGAAAUUGAAGGAUGGAUAAAAGUACGAAGCCAUAGUGGCAGGGCAGUGAUAGUUGUUUUGAGUGUAGCAAUUGCUGCAGUCAGUAAUUUGUACCAACCAACAUUAAAUCUUUUAAUAGUUGCAGUUUGUCAGACUGUCUCUGAAGGUGUCCAGCUUUUCUUGAUAUCUAGUGCCAAGUGACAUUGGGCAUAUGUGGGACAUCUGGCUGCAAAAGCUAAACUAGACACCACAGCAAAGCCCAGGUGACCAAUGAGAUGGUACAACACUACAACACUGACAGCAAGGAAAGUGUGAAGGUGUACAAAUGCAAAUAUGCCAAUGAGAUUUGGAGUCAACCAAAUAAAGGACAAAUAUCAAAAGAUGACUAAGUUUUACAUAUUGUGAUCUUCAGACAACACACCAAUGGUAUAAGACAGAAUCUUUACAGAGCAUAUGAUAUUCAUGAUUGUUAAAGAUUUGUGUCACCCAUUAAAAGCUAAACUUCACCCAGGAACUCUUGCCAACCUAUUGCUACUGCAUUUCCAGCAGGAUUACAUACCUCAGCAAGUAACGAUUCAUCUUGUGGUGUACAAGAGACAGGUCUGCAGUUUGAGACUAACACAAGCUCAUUUUGGCUUCCUCCAACCUUCUGCCUGGGAGAUACCAAUGGUCUAGUAGUGGCGAUCCACCACUAUGUAAAUCUAGGUACAGUAACAAUUCAUGAGAUUUAAACCACAUCUGCUCUGCAAAAACAGACCACAAUUGAUGUAAUCAAAUCAGUUAAUGGUCUGCAAGGGUAUGACUUUGAAGUAAAAUAAUAAGCUUGGUACCUGGGUGAUUACAUCUGACAUGCUGAGCAGAUUACCCAACCCACACAAAUACCAAGGUAUUCAUCUUGAGUUCCACAUUGCUCUGAACUAAGGUAGGGAGAGAUGUGUUUUGGAGGCAGUCACACCCCUUAGAUUAAGUACCUCAAAUUUGGUCAGUGGUCAAGGACAGUAGGGUGUAACUGAACAAAACGGGUAGAAGGAUCUAGGAGGUAGUGCUGAAGGAGCCUCAGCCCUUAAGAUUCUCUGAACGAUUUGAGAUUCUUGCUCCCUCUGUGCAUGAGUGUGGAGCUAUAUGGAGCAUGAGCAAACUGACCAUAGCACCGUGGUAUUGGGAGCCAUUUGAGAGGGGGGGAAGGGAAGAAAAGAGAAACGUAGUUGUAAUCAGGGAUAGUACAAUCGGGGGAAUAGACAGUGCUCUCUGGAUAGUGUUUACUGUGGCCAGGAUUGAGGGUCCCUCAGAGCUGUGUUACAUGCCUGGUACUCGGGUUCAGGAUAUCUCAUCUGGGUUGUAGAUGAGUGGGAAGGGAAAGAUUGAGUUGUCGUUGUUCGUAUAGGUACCAAUGAUAAAGGUAGAAAGACAAAAGAGGUUCUGCUGAGGGAAUAUGAGUAGCUAGGGGCUGAAUUAAAAUGCAGAACCAAAAAUAAUAAUCUCCAGAUUACUACCUGAGUCACCAGCUAAUUGGCAGAGGUAAACGUGUGGCUCAAGGAUUGGUGUGGGAGAAACAGGUUCAAAUUUGAGAGACAUUGGCACCAGACCUGGGGAAGGAGGGAGCUAUUCUGAUGGAAUGGGCUCCACCUGAAUGAAGCUGGGAUGAGAGUCCUGGCGAAUCGCAUAACUAGGACUGAGGAUAGGGCUUUAAACUGAAUAGUUGGGGUGGGUUCAGUUGCAUGGAAAAUUAUAUAAAACGUUAAACUGGGGGAGGGCUCAGUAGAGGUUGUUAAAGUUUCCAGAGCAAGUCUACCAUGAGUAUGGAAAGGAUCAAGAAUCUAACUUCAGCACAGUAGAUAAGGGGACAACUAUGAGAAGGGGGACAGUCAAUGCAGGACUGAGGAUGUUGUACACAUACACACAGUACACAAAACAAGGUAAAUGAGCUUGUAGCAUAGACUGGAAUUGGCAGAUACAAUGUUGUGCGUAUCACGGAGAUGUGGCUGCUAGGAAAUCAGGGUUGGGAACUAAAUAUCCAAGGAUAUGCAUCUUAUUGAAAUGACAGGCAGAUGGGUAAAGGGGCAGGUGUUGCCUUUUAGUACAAAAUAAAAUUUAAAUCAGUAGCAAGAAAUGAUAUAGCAUUGGAAAGUGUAGAAUCUGUCUAGGUAGAGUUGAGGAACUGCAAAGGAAAAUAGACCAUGAUGGGAGUGUGUACAGACCUCUUAGCAAUAGUCAGAAGGUGGGGGAGAAAAUGAAUCGGGAGGUAGAAAAGGCAUGAUAGAAAGGCACGAUUACAAUAAUCAUGGGUGACUUCAAUAUGUGGUGGACUGCGAAAAUCAGGCAGAUAGCCGAUCCCUAGAAAAGGAAUUCAUGGAAUAUCUUUAAGAUGGUUUUUUGGAGCAGCUUGUGGUAGACCCCAUUAGGGAACAUGCAAUUCUGGAAUUGCUGAUGUGUACUGAGGCAGACUUGAUUAGGGAUCUUAAAGUGAAGGAACCCCUGGGGAAGUGACCACAAUAUGAUAGAAUUCACCUCGCAGUUUGAGAGGGAUAAACUGGAAUCCGAUGUAAUGAUAUUACAAUUGAGUAAAGGUAACUACAAAGACAUGAGGGAGGAGCUAGCCAGAGUUGAUUGGAAGGGGAUCCUAGCAAGGAAGACAGUGGAGCAGCAAUAGCAGGAAUUUCUGGGGUUUUUUUGGGAGGCGCAGCAGAAAUUCAUCUCAAGGUGGUAGAAACGUUCUUAGGGAAGGAUGAGGGAACUAUGGCUGAUAAGGGAAGUCAGGGACAGCAUAAAAGCAAAGGUAAAGCAUACAGUGUGGUGAAGAUUAGUGAGAAAUCAGAGGAUUAGGAAGUCUUUAAAUACCAGCAGAGGACAAUAAAAAGCAAUAAUGAGUGAGAAGAUGAAAUAUGAGAUUAUCUAGCUAGUAAUAUUGCAUUAUCUUAUUAGAUCACAAGAGUUUUUUUAGAUAUAUAAAAGAUGAGAGACAUGCAGGAGCGGACAUUGGACAGCUGGAAAAUGAAGCUGGAAAAGUAGUAAUGGGAAACAAGGAAAUGGCAGAGGACCUGAAUAGGUACUUUGCAACAGACUUAUGGUAUUGUACAUUAGCAUCAGUAAGCACAGAAUCCAAACUACAUGUGUAAGUCAUUGGUAUUGCAGCCAUAUAACUAGUGUUGUGCAUAAACGUGAAGAUUUCUGACUCAACAAGAAGCCAACUCUAUUGCAUAUGUUACAUAGAUUGACAUAUAGAACAUCAUAAAGUGCAUCAGGUUACAAGGUGUUCUGUGCCAACCAGGCCACAGUUGGUGUAAAUUGGCACAGAAUUGAAAAUGGAUGAAUUUUAUUUAUUAAUCUCCAACUCCUCCUAUCAGAUGCUGAUACAUUGAUAUAAGUAAAUAUAAAUUUCUGCAUUCUUAGUUCUUGUUGGCCUAUACUUAACUAGUGAAGGUGACAGUCGUCGGUGAGACACCUAAACAUAGUUUAUCAAUCACAAGAGCGUCCAAGGACAGUGUACUGAACCCAUUGCACUGGAAAAGUACUGCACAUUGAGCAAAGUCUGCAGAGAGAACAGUCAUCUGGAGCUGAGCUUGAAUAUCUUUGUUCUAACUAAAUACAUUUUCCUUACGGUUUAGUUUGAGUGAGUUUCCGUGAUGUGCUGUUGAUUGAUUUAAUAUAUUAAAGGAGAUCAGGUUUUUGUAUUUUUGAUUUUUACUUAUGACUGAAAAUCUGCUCUUUAGGCUUAGGCAUUUUCUGCCUGCUUUCUUGAAAUUCUGACUAAUUAGUUUUAUUACCUUUUACCGAAGUAUUGUUCUCUGAGAACUAUAUUUCCCACUUCCAUUCAUUUCCCACAUUUCUUCAGUGACCCCUGUUUGUUUCUUUCCUUUUCAUUUUCAUUUUUGCAAAUUGUGUCAAAUGUUGCAGAUUCCAGACUUCAAGAACAACUGCCAUUCCUUGUUCAAAGCUAUAAAUAGAUUUAUUACAUCUGUCACCGUUAUGGUUGAAACCAUCAUGGUACAAAGUUUGCUGCAGGAUCUCCCAGUGGAAGGUGGAGAUACGUAAAAAGCAGUGUUUCUGAAUGGAAGGACAUGUACGAUAACUACCUGCUCCUGAAGUCUAUCAGAAAUGACAUUGAGUGGGGCAUUCUGGACGAACAAAUAAAAUCUGAUCUGCAGUCCAUAAAAGCCAGAGAAGACGGUGAUGACUGUGGAAUACUUCAAAGAUGAUUUCAUCACUAUUUACAUGGACUUUACAAUGUCCUCUCCAACCUUACACUGCAAGCUAAUCAUGUAACCAACUGGCAUACAAGGGAACUAGGAAUUAAUGACUUGGGAAGUGAAUUGAAAUCAAGUUACAGAUGAAAGUCUGGAGAGAUGAAAGACUGCAGGUUACCACUCCUAAAGCAUCAAGCAGUACCUCUUCCUGCAACAAAGAUACAAUUAUAUUCCAUUACACUGCCAAAUUACGCUGGUUCAUUUUAGUUUCUACAUUUAUAAUCAUAUUUGAACUGUACCCUAGCCAGCAGAAGUUUCAGUGCAUUUUGACACAAUAGCCUGUGACCUUCUGGCUAAUCAGGACAAUGUAGCACAGAGUCAGUGUAGCUACCAGAGUCAGCUAUUUUGGGAGUGAAGCAGAGUGUUUUGGCACCAGCUCAAGGAAGUAUAUCUAAUGUCAUUUAUUCCUUGUUCCAAUUUAAAUUUGCAUCAGCCUUGCUAGCCCGGAUUACGUUAUUGGUUUUCUGCCUUACUCUGGCUAUCGAUGAGCUAGCCACUUAGCAGUCUUUUACCUAGCAAUGUGAUCUGGACAGAUAUCCUGUUGACAAAAGAAGGGAACUUUACAAUUGAUUUUUGAGUGAAAGUAUAUCUUAACGUCACACACAGCCGAUUUCUGUUUUGUUCAGAGUGCUAUAAUGUAACUGGAACAGGAUUAACACACAAAGUGGACCAGUUCCAAUAGACGGACAGAGAGAGGUCAGGGCAGGGGGAGGGUUUCGCUCCGGUUCCUCUUCUCCUCCUGUUCCUCCUCCUCAGAACCCAAUCCCUCAAAUACAUAAAACCUACAUCCUGUUUCUCCAAAGAAAAGAAAAUUGAAAAGAUAUAUUUAGGAAGUAUUGUCAUUUUGCAUUUUAAUUUUGUCUUACCACUAAUUUUAUUUUACUUAGAUAAGUUUCACUUUCAAAGUAACAAUGCAUGUACAUCAAAUACAAAAAGACUUUCCAUAUGCAAUCAUAUUCCACACAAAUCUAUUUUGAUAUCAUAAGUUUUGUUUUCUUCCAUAUUUGGUCUUGAUACAGUACCCAUUUUGAUAUUGUUUCUUCAGCAUUAAACUCCGCCAAAACAAUCUCAAAUUCUUAAUAUUAAAUCUUGCUAAGAAAGUGAAUGGAUUAGGGUCUCUGCAGAGCUACUGAAUUUGUCGGCUUCAUAAUAUUUUAGGGUGAAUAUCAAACUUAAUAUUUCUUUUUCCACAGAUCAAUGUUUCUGAUGACAUGAAUUUUAAGUUACUUUUGAAAAAUAUCUGACUGGUUGUUCAAUCCUCAUUUAUUCUCCUGUAAUGAAACUGUGCCAAUACUGACUCUGGUAGUGUCAACAGCCAGUUUAAAUGGCUUAACAUGGUUCAGAGCUGUUAAAUGUCUCCUUUAUCUUAGAAACCUUAUUUUUACUUCUCUACAUAGUUCUUCUUGGCCUUGUCCCACAGUAUGGCCAAAAUGAGUUACUUUUGCUUUGACAAAUUCACCUGUGAACAAUUUUGUGCUGUAUUUGGCUUUUUGUAAUUGAUCAAACAAUUCAUUCAAGUGCUGUAAAUAUUCCUGCCAGGUUUGGCUGGACACAACCAAACCACCAAUAUUUUUGACAUAGUUGUAUAAUCCUUCAAUGACUUUGGUUAAGUUUUGAGAAAUUACUAGUGCAUGUUUCAUUCCAAACAACAUUAUUUUGCAUUAAUAAAGUCCAUCUCAGGUUAUAAGAGCUGGUAUAUCUUUGGCCCUUUUGGUCAAUGGAACUUUCCAAUGUAAAGACAACUUUUUUCUUAGACUGUGGUUUUAAAAAAUUAGUCACUAUAUCUCACUGUGAGUUGUAUCUACGAUGCUGUUUUACUCAAGCAGCAGGGGAAAAUGCUAAACAUAUUGGCGCUAUGUGUAUUGGCACUGCAGUUUUACCCAGAGACAGUUUAUUCAUUCAUUUUUCAAACAGGAUCAGUUUUGUGGGUCAGGAGUGCUUGGCAUAAUAGCAACUUCUUGACUGGCUCUUGAGCAAGUGCCUUCAUUCUUGCAUAUGGACAAUACAGGAGUAACUUGGAGCAUACAAAGAGAAAGUGCCUAAAUUUCUUACCCUCAUGGAGAAGUAACAGAAAAUCUCCUGUUAGCUGUUAUCACUUACCAUUUCCCUGUAAACCGCUGUCUGAAAAUUUCUUUGUUCAAAGGAAGUGGGGAGAAAACACCUGAAAAAGCACUUAAAAGGUGAAUCCUCAACCUGUAGAUGAAAGACUGGGAACUGGAGUAUCUACAAGUUUCACAUCACCAUAGCAUUAGCAAAGAAUCAGAAAGAACUGAAAGAAACACUGCUGUCUGUGAUCUAAAUUGGUGCUAGACUAUGCUUCUCUAAUUUUUUUUCCCCUCUGUACCUGUUCUUGCUUGUGUCUUGACGCUUUGUGUGUUUGUUUGUAAGUGCAUGGGAAAGGGGUGUUCUUUAAGUUAUGGCAAUUUGCAUUUCUUUUGUGCUAUUGGUUAAAAACGUUUGAUUACAAUAAAUAGUUUGCUGUUACUGAAAA